AACUCGUCGGAAUCUGGGAGGACCAUCUCCUAAACCUAAAUACUCUCUAGUGACAGAUAGUGAACCAUUACCGUGAGGGAAAGGUGAAAAUCACCCCGGGAGGGGAGUGAAAUAGAACCUGAAACCGUGUGCCUACAACAAGUUCGAGCCCGUUAAUGGGUGAGAGCGUGCCUUUUGUAGAAUGCACCGGCGAGUUACGAUAUGAUGCGAGGUUAAGUUGAAGAGACGGAGCCGUAGGGAAACCGAGUCUUAAUAGGGCGAAUUAGUAUCAUGUCGUAGACCCGAAACCAUGUGACCUACCCAUGAGCAGGGUGAAGGUGAGGUAAAACUCACUGGAGGCCCGAACCAGGGCACGUUGAAAAGUGCUUGGAUGACUUGUGGGUAGCGGAGAAAUUCCAAACGAACUUGGAGAUAGCUGGUUCUCUCCGAAAUAGCUUUAGGGCUAGCGUCGAUGUUAAGUCUCUUGGAGGUAGAGCACUGUUUGAUUGAGGGGUCCAUCCCGGAUUACCAAUAUCAGAUAAACUCCGAAUGCCAAUGAGAUAUAAUCGGCAGUCAGACUGCGAGUGCUAAGAUCCGUAGUCGAAAGGGAAACAGCCCAGACCACCAGCUAAGGUCCCAAAAUAUAUGUUAAGUGGAAAAGGAUGUGGGGUUGCACAGACAACUAGGAUGUUAGCUUAGAAGCAGCUAUUCAUUCAAAGAGUGCGUAAUAGCUCACUAGUCGAGUGACCCUGCGCCGAAAAUGUACCGGGGCUAAAACAUAUUACCGAAGCUGUGGAUACCUUUUAGGUAUGGUAGGAGAGCGUUCUAUGUGUGAAGAAGGUGUACCGUGAGGAGCGCUGGAACGCAUAGAAGUGAGAAUGCCGGUAUGAGUAGCGAAAGACAGGUGAGAAUCCUGUCCACCGUAUGACUAAGGUUUCCAGGGGAAGGCUCGUCCUCCCUGGGUUAGUCGGGACCUAAGGAGAGACCGAAAGGUGUAUCCGAUGGACAACAGGUUGAUAUUCCUGUACUAGAGUAUAUAGUGAUGGAGGGACGCAGUAGGCUAACUAAAGCGUGCGAUUGGAAGUGCACGUCUAAGCAGUGAGGUGUGAUAUGAGUCAAAUGCUUAUAUCUUUAACAUUGAGCUGUGAUGGGGAGCGAAGUUAAGUAGCGAAGUUAGUGAUGUCACACUGCCAAGAAAAGCUUCUAGCGUUAAUUAUACUCUACCCGUACCGCAAACCGCCACAGGUAGUCGAGGCGAGUAGCCUCAGGUGAGCGAGAGAACUCUCGUUAAGGAACUCGGCAAAAUGGCCCCGUAACUUCGGGAGAAGGGGCGCUGGCUUUAAGUCAGCCGCAGUGAAUAGGCCCAAGCAACUGUUUAUCAAAAACACAGCUCUCUGCUAAAUCGUAAGAUGAUGUAUAGGGGGUGACGCCUGCCCGGUGCUGGAAGGUUAAGAGGAGCGCUUAGCAUUAGCGAAGGUGUGAAUUGAAGCCCCAGUAAACGGCGGCCGUAACUAUAACGGUCCUAAGGUAGCGAAAUUCCUUGUCGGGUAAGUUCCGACCCGCACGAAAGGCGUAAUGAUUUGGGCACUGUCUCAACGAGAGACUCGGUGAAAUUUUAGUACCUGUGAAGAUGCAGGUUACCCGCGACAGGACGGAAAGACCCCAUGGAGCUUUACUGCAGUUUGAUAUUGAGUAUCUGUACCACAUGUACAGGAUAGGUAGGAGCCUAUGAAAUCGGGACGCUAGUUUCGGUGGAGGCGUUGUUGGGAUACUACCCUUGUGUUAUGGCUACUCUAACCUAGAUAGGUUAUCCCUAUCGGAGACAGUGUCUGACGGGCAGUUUGACUGGGGCGGUCGCCUCCUAAAAGGUAACGGAGGCGCCCAAAGGUUCCCUCAGAAUGGUUGGAAAUCAUUCGCAGAGUGUAAAGGUAUAAGGGAGCUUGACUGCGAGAGCUACAACUCGAGCAGGGACGAAAGUCGGGCUUAGUGAUCCGGUGGUUCCGCAUGGAAGGGCCAUCGCUCAACGGAUAAAAGCUACCCUGGGGAUAACAGGCUUAUCUCCCCCAAGAGUUCACAUCGACGGGGAGGUUUGGCACCUCGAUGUCGGCUCGUCGCAUCCUGGGGCUGUAGUCGGUCCCAAGGGUUGGGCUGUUCGCCCAUUAAAGCGGCACGCGAGCUGGGUUCAGAACGUCGUGAGACAGUUCGGUCCCUAUCCGUCGCGGGCGUAGGAAAUUUGAGAGGAUCUGCUCCUAGUACGAGAGGACCAGAGUGGACUUACCGCUGGUGUACCAGUUGUCUUGC
rnacentral:rRNA from 1 species